rnacentral:rRNA from 1 species
UGGGGAAUAUUCCGCAAUGGGCGCAAGCCUGACGGAGCAAUGCCGCGUGAGGGAAGAAGGCCUUCGGGUUGUAAACCUUUGUUUUAUGGGAAGAUAGUGACGGUACCAUAAGAGGAAGCCCCGGCUAACUACGUGCCAGCAGCCGCGGUAAUACGUAGGGGGCAAGCGUUGUCCGGAAUUACUGGGCGUAAAGGGCGUGUAGGCGGUUUUUUAAGUUAGGAGUGAAAACUCGAGGCUUAACCUCGAGAGUGCUUCUAAAACUGGGAGACUUGAGUGCAGGAGAGGAAGGUAGUAUUCCUGAUGUAGCGGUGAAAUGCGUAGAUAUCAGGAGGAAUACUCGUGGCGAAGGCGGCCUUCUGGCCUGUAACUGACGCUGAGGCGCGAAAGCGUGGGGAGCAAACAGGAUUAGAUACCCUGGUAGUCCACGCCGUAGACGAUGAGUGCUAAGUGUUGGAUGUAUCGACCCCUUCAGUG